GGGGUUGUAGCUCAGUUGGUAGAGCAUUCACCUUACAUGUGUGAGGCACUGGGUACGAUCCUCAGCAUCACAU
rfam:Ictidomys tridecemlineatus contig073402, whole genome shotgun sequence.